rnacentral:rRNA from 1 species
UUUAUGGAGAGUUUGAUCCUGGCUCAGGAUGAACGCUGGCGGCGUGCCUAAUACAUGCAAGUCGAGCGAACGGACGAGAAGCUUGCUUCUCUGAUGUUAGCGGCGGACGGGUGAGUAACACGUGGAUAACCUACCUAUAAGACUGGGAUAACUUCGGGAAACCGGAGCUAAUACCGGAUAAUAUUUUGAACCGCAUGGUUCAAAAGUAAAAGACGGUCUUGCUGUCACUUAUAGAUGGAUCCGCGCUGCAUUAGCUAGUUGGUAAGGUAACGGCUUACCAAGGCAACGAUGCAUAGCCGACCUGAGAGGGUGAUCGGCCACACUGGAACUGAGACACGGUCCAGACUCCUACGGGAGGCAGCAGUAGGGAAUCUUCCGCAAUGGGCGAAAGCCUGACGGAGCAACGCCGCGUGAGUGAUGAAGGUCUUCGGAUCGUAAAACUCUGUUAUUAGGGAAGAACAUAUGUGUAAGUAACUGUGCACAUCUUGACGGUACCUAAUCAGAAAGCCACGGCUAACUACGUGCCAGCAGCCGCGGUAAUACGUAGGUGGCAAGCGUUAUCCGGAAUUAUUGGGCGUAAAGCGCGCGUAGGCGGUUUUUUAAGUCUGAUGUGAAAGCCCACGGCUCAACCGUGGAGGGUCAUUGGAAACUGGAAAACUUGAGUGCAGAAGAGGAAAGUGGAAUUCCAUGUGUAGCGGUGAAAUGCGCAGAGAUAUGGAGGAACACCAGUGGCGAAGGCGACUUUCUGGUCUGUAACUGACGCUGAUGUGCGAAAGCGUGGGGAUCAAACAGGAUUAGAUACCCUGGUAGUCCACGCCGUAAACGAUGAGUGCUAAGUGUUAGGGGGUUUCCGCCCCUUAGUGCUGCAGCUAACGCAUUAAGCACUCCGCCUGGGGAGUACGACCGCAAGGUUGAAACUCAAAGGAAUUGACGGGGACCCGCACAAGCGGUGGAGCAUGUGGUUUAAUUCGAAGCAACGCGAAGAACCUUACCAAAUCUUGACAUCCGUUGACAACUCUAGAGAUAGAGCCUUCCCCUUCGGGGGACAAAGUGACAGGUGGUGCAUGGUUGUCGUCAGCUCGUGUCGUGAGAUGUUGGGUUAAGUCCCGCAACGAGCGCAACCCUUAAGCUUAGUUGCCAUCAUUAAGUUGGGCACUCUAAGUUGACUGCCGGUGACAAACCGGAGGAAGGUGGGGAUGACGUCAAAUCAUCAUGCCCCUUAUGAUUUGGGCUACACACGUGCUACAAUGGACAAUACAAAGGGCAGCGAAACCGCGAGGUCAAGCAAAUCCCAUAAAGUUGUUCUCAGUUCGGAUUGUAGUCUGCAACUCGACUACAUGAAGCUGGAAUCGCUAGUAAUCGUAGAUCAGCAUGCUACGGUGAAUACGUUCCCGGGUCUUGUACACACCGCCCGUCACACCACGAGAGUUUGUAACACCCGAAGCCGGUGGAGUAACCUUUUAGGAGCUAGCCGUCGAAGGUGGGACAAAUGAUUGGGGUGAAGUCGUAACAAGGUAGCCGUAUCGGAAGGUGCGGCUGGAUCACCUCCUUUCU